CGGGACGGGUGAGUAAUGUCUGGGAAACUGCCUGAUGGAGGGGGAUAACUACUGGAAACGGUAGCUAAUACCGCAUAACGUCGCAAGACCAAAGAGGGGGACCUUAGGGCCUCUUGCCAUCGGAUGUGCCCAGAUGGGAUUAGCUAGUAGGUGGGGUAACGGCUCACCUAGGCGACGAUCCCUAGCUGGUCUGAGAGGAUGACCAGCCGCACUGGAACUGAGACACGGUCCAG
rnacentral:rRNA from 1 species